UACAGAGGGGGCAAGCGUUAUUCGGAAUUAUUGGGCGUAAAGGGCGCGUAGGCGGCUUUUCAAGUGACGGGUGAAAUCCCUCGGCUUAACCGAGGAACUGCCUGUCAGACUGGAAGGCUUGAGACCGGGAGAGGGAUGUGGAAUUCCAGGUGUAGCGGUGAAAUGCGUAGAGAUCUGGAGGAACACCAAAGGCGAAGGCAGUGUCCUGGGGAGGCACCUGACGCUCAGGCGCGAAAGCCAGGGGAGCGAACGGA
rnacentral:rRNA from 1 species